rnacentral:lncRNA from 1 species
GAGUCUCACUACUUCCGCAUGUUUCACUUCAUAGGAUGUUUUCCUUUGCUUGAUUCAAUCAUGUUGGACUUGUACCAGCACGUGCCAAGAUGAUGUACCAGAUAUUUAUGUAAUAAUUAUAAUGUUGCUACAUUUAUUUCUGUCUUGUAUGGAUUUGAAUCGAUUGAGACAGGGUAUGCACGUGAUAGCCACUUCCUGGAACUUUCACUAAGGUGCAGAGGCUUGAAAUCUCAGAAAU